GUAAAAUGCCGUGACCACAAACCGCCAGAUCAACCCGUCGGAGCGAUAAUUUUUUGGAGGUAGACUAAAAAGAGAUUUCGUCCAUGCGUGGCUUUUCGGAGUAUUGCAUGCCUUAUUUAUGCGCCAUUUGUAAAGAAGUUAACCCAGGAGGGAGGUGUCUCUUCGGCGGCAUAAAGGAAGGAAUCAAGACACUGAUAUACUUUGGUGAAUCUAUACUUGGCAUUUGGAUGUACAAAUGGAAGAGAAAAUAUAGUGCAAAAACUUACUCCUCCUGUUGAGAAUGGAUCAACACCACGUUUGUUCAGCAGUAGUUUAACAACAUCCUCACGUGAGUACAUAGCAGCAAUAUGCAGAACAUUGUAAUUAUCCUAGAUGAAUAGACAGAAUAAAAAAAGGGAAUUAGAA